rnacentral:lncRNA from 1 species
CGUGGCUUUAGUCUUCAUUGGGUUCUAUGCGGUUGGGCGGGGCUUAAGGAAGGGGGCGUGGCUUCAAGUCCCUUUGAGUUGCAUGGGGUGGGCGGGGCUUAAAGAAGGCCGGAAGUGGACGGGAACGAAUGAAUUGGGGGGAGUGGCUUCUGGACGGAAGUGAUCCAGGGGGCGUGGCUUAAAGCUCUCGAUCCCAUUGGUCGUUAUGUCAGUGGGCGUGGCUCUGAGACAGAGUAGGCGUGGCCAAAGCCCCCAUUUUCCGUAUGGGUUGGGCAGGCCGGAAGUGGGCAACAAUGGAUGAAUGAAUUAAUGAAUGAAGGGGCGUGGCUUCUGACCGGAAGUGAGCCAGGGGGCGUGGUCUAAAGGCCUCGACCCCAUUGGGCCUUUUGUCAGCUGAGGGAAAAGGGGGCGUGGCCAAAGUCCCAUUCUACGUAUCGGUCGGGCAGGCCGGAAGUGGGCGGGAACGAAUGAAUGAAGGGGCGUGGCUUCUGACCGGAAGUGAGCCCGGAGGCGUGGCUUAAAGGCCUCGGCCCCAUUGGGCUCUGAGGCAAAGUGGGCGUGGCCAAAACCCCCCCAUUCUGCCUACGGGGUGGAAGUGAGAGGGGAAUGAAUGAAGAAGGGGGAAGUUGGGGGCGUGGUUUCCGGCCGGAAGUUGGAGGUAACACCGGUCCCGCCCCCUUCCUUCCGUCAUGGCCGCAGUGUACGACGUGCUGACGGGCGCCACCGUGCGGAGGUUGGCUCAUCCCGGCGGCUGCGUCCGCGAUGUCUGCUGGCAUCCGGCCGGGGGGCGGCUCGUCAGCGCCUCGGUACGUCCUUGGGGAGGGACUUCCGGUUGGGAAAAGAGGGGGAGGGAAGACGGCUUCCGGUUUGGUGGGUUUGGGAUGGGACGAUUUCCGGUUUGGGGAAGUGGGAAAGAGGGACUUCCGGUUUGGGGGUUGGGGGGUGGAGACGACUUCCGGUUGAGGGUGUUGGAGGGUGGACUUCCGGUUUUGGGGUUGGGAAUGGGGACGACUUCCUGUUCGGGGGUGUGAGAGGGAGGGACUUCCGGUGUGUGUGUUGGGGGGAUGGGACGACUUCCGGUUUUCGGAGGUGUUGGAAGGGGGGACAUCCGGUUUGGGAGAGGAGUGGGGUGACUAUGGGGUGGUUAUGGGGCUCUGUGAGUCUCUAUGGGUCCCUAUGGGAUCUGUGGGUCUCUAUGGGGUUCUAUGGGAUCUGUGGGUCUCUAUGGGUUUCUAUGGGUCUCUAUGGGAUCUAUGGGGUCUAUGGGUCCCUAUGGGUCUCUGUGGGGCUCUAUGGGUCCCUAUGGGUCCCUAUGGGUCUCUGUGGGGCUCUAUGGGAUCUAUGGGGUCUA